UACGAAGGGGGCUAGCGUUGCUCGGAAUCGACUGGGCGUAAAGCGCACGUAGGCGGAUUGUUAAGUCAGGGGUGAAAUCCUGGAGCUCAACUCCAGAACUGCCUUUGAUACUGGCGAUCUCGAGUCCGGGAGAGGUGAGUGGAACUGCGAGUGUAGAGGUGAAAUUCGUAGAUAUUCGCAAGAACACCAGUGGCGGAAGGCGGCUCACUGGCCCGGUACUGGACGCUGAGGUGGCGAAAGCG
rnacentral:rRNA from 1 species